ensembl:lncRNA
AUUAUGCAGGGCUAGCCAAAGGAGCCUAAACCAUGUAGGACAAAAUUGCAAAGAUAUAGACAUUAUUAUUUUUAACUUUUGUUUUAGUUUGUCAUCUAUAUCUGGGCUUUUUAUGCUCAGGAAAAACGUGGAACUCACUAUGAAAUGCAGAAUCUCUGCAAAUCAGUCCCGAGAGCCCCCACGAUCCUUCACUGAAGUCAAGGAAUCGAACACUCAGCUCGUAGAGCGGAUUGCUCAUUCCUCGCAGCUGAUAUCACAUGGGGGCCUACACUGGUCUGGAGUAAAGAGAAAUAAAUCGGAAACUUGCGAUAACUCUAGAACCAUGGUCCUUAAAGUACGGCUCCCCAACCAGCACCAUCAGUUUCACCUGGGAACUUGUUAGAAAUGCAGUUUCUCAGAACCCAGCCCAGACCUGCUCUGUCAGAAGCUCUAGGGGUGCCUCGUAUUCUCCAUUUAGCAAGUUCUCCAGUUGAUUCUGCUGCAGGCUGAACUUUGAGAACCACUGCUCUGGAUAAGAUUGAAGGCAAUUCCCGAAAGCUGAAGAGAGAUCACCAUAGACAUGUGGCAUCAUCUGUAUAUCCUCUAGUAGAAAGCAGGAGCCGCACUCCCCAGGUCUAGAACCGGAAGUGCGCCUCAUUAUGAAAUGAAAAAAAGGAGAAUUCCAGAUAUACAGAUAUACACCAAAUAAAAUGAAUGUUAGCCCUCAGGAAUGGUGAUUGCAAAGACUGAAGAUCCUGGAUUCAGGUCACACUACAGAGGGAUUUUGAACUUUUUCCUCAAGCCAGAUUGUAUGGUUUAACAGUUUUUCUGUUAGAAGAACGGAGCAGAUGAUGUGAAAUUUCAGUCAAAGGCAGCAAAAAUGAAAGCAAGGCAAAGGUAACAUUGGAAAUGAAAAGUGCAUCAAUAAAAAGAUGGAGAGCUGAAACUCCUGCGGGAAACGGAAACGCUUAUUUUUAAGAUUAUGUCGCCACCUAGUAAAUCAGCAUAGAAAUACACCCGCAGCAAGUGCAGCCUGUGCUGAGCUCCGUCCUCUGGCUAGCAAUUCCCACUGGCACCUUUCUCUCUAAACAUCUGCACACACAAGACGAGCCUGCGACCUGCACCAGCCUCUCGAGUUCUCAGUCACAGCCCAGCUCACAGCCAGCUCUUCCUCCAGGGUUACGGAACGGAGAAGUCAACAGCACACGUUUGAGACCUGAAAACGUGUCGAGAUUUUCUCUCCAUCUCUGUUACCUACCUUUGGAAAUGAUUAGUUCAAACCGCACAGAUUAUUGUUUGCCUGUUCUAAAUAAUGUAACUCUGGGCUGUUCGUUAGUGAAAUAUUUUUCAUUUUCUACUUUUGUUUCUGUCUCAUAAAAGAAGUGGGCCGGUCAUGGUCUUUCUCUGUGGGGAAGCACAGGAAUCGUGGAAUUAAAAACACUACACAGAGAAGCCCACUUUUUUCAGUUAAAGCCGUGCCUUUAGUUUUGCUGUUAUUUUAAGCAGUCUCAUUUCAUCUGCAGUAGUGUUUGCACUGAAUAGUUGAUCACCCACCCUGGUUUUUUUUUUUUUUUUUUUUUUUGCUUGAGGAAGAUUAGCCCUGAGCUAACAUCUGCACCAAUCUUCCUUUACUUUAUAUGCAGGUUGCCGCCACAGCACGGCUAACAAAUGGUGUAGGUCCAUCCCCAGCAUCAAAACCCAGGCUGCGGAAGUGGAUUGCACUGAACUUAAUCACUAGGCCCUGGGGCCAGCCCCCUGGUUUUGUUUUUUAUGAAGAGAGAGUUAGUUUGAUAAAAUAUCACACAGAGUUUUAUUGGUUUGGUGUCUACAGAUGAUUGGUCCCCAGGGGUGGGAUUCUGGCCAUACCCUUUGCUACUCCUAAUUUUUUCAUCUGUGAGAUGGGGAUAACAAUAGUAUAUACAGCACUUGACUUUUAGGAGGAAUAAAUUAAAGUGCUCAGAAAUUUUAGCUAUCGUUAUCAAUAACAAAAAUACACUGAUUGAAAUGGUUGAAAAAAAUUCCAUGUUGCCACUCACAAUAGAUUGAAAUGCUUUAGCCAAGCAAAUAGAUACAGAGAAAGGAGGCAUAUAUUCAGAGACCAGGAAACCAUCCAUUUUUAAAAAUUCAAGUGAUAAAAUUUUUUAAAAUGAUUAGAUUUUAAUAAUUAUAAAAUUGAUUAAAUUCAAAUGCUUUAAAAACCUUGACAAUGCGCCUCCAUUCUUUUUCUCUACUUUCUCCCUUCCUUUUAGAAACCUAUCCUCACUUGAGUCCUCCGAAUAGUAUCUCCAUUUUGUUUUAAGGACUGCUUAGAAUAUUUUGACAGAGUCAAAA